CUGCGAAUAUUCUCGCUGUUCUGAUGUUUGUAAUAAUCAGGGCAGGCUAAACAUUCGCUAUAUUAAGACCAUGCAUGGUGUCCCCAGACCUAGUUCUUUCCCUGGGUCUGGUUUUAUAAAUGCUGGUGAUAAAC
rnacentral:snoRNA from 1 species